UUUAUCAUGUCUAUGGAAUACAUUAAGUAUUCUGAUAGGUUGAAUAUCCAUGAAUUAACAGCGUCUAUUUCCAUAACCCAAGUGAUGCCCAUCAAGAAGAACAAUUUGAGAUACAUUACGAACCUACAAGCAAAUUCAUUCAGUCAACGCCGUUGAAAUAAAUAAGAAAAUGUUGCAAACAUUAAUGAUACCAAAGGGCCAAGCAAAGUAAAUUCUUGCACUCCUGUCUGAAACAAAAGAUAACUGUAUGGCAAAAAAAAUGUCAUUUACCGAACCAAUGAUCACGAAUGCAAAAGUUUGGUCGGAUGAAAUUCUUUGGCACAUCGAGAACGAAUUCAAUCAUGGUACAUAUGAACAUGAAGAUAAAAGGACAUCCCCAUCCGUACAAUGCGUAUAGGAAUUUCCUUUUCCUUUGACGUUUCAUGUUUCCUCGUGAUGUGUGAGUUUUCUGUCUUUUGUGGAAUAUAGUUCACUAUUAAUAUUAAUCAAUGACGAGAAAGUUAAAUAGAUCAUGUAGUAAGACUUCCAAUGAAAGCUUUUCUUCUUUUAAGCACAAAUUUAGUGUUUUUUAUCAUAUUUGUCUUAAACGUAACG